UGCAAACUCACUUAAAGCCAGGCC
rnacentral:piRNA from 1 species